ACACAUGCAGUCGAGCGGAUGAAGGAGCUUGCUCCUGGAUUCAGCGGCGGACGGGUGAGUAAUGCCUAGGAAUCUGCCUGGUAGUGGGGGACAACGUUUCGAAAGGAACGCUAAUACCGCAUACGUCCUACGGGAGAAAGCAGGGGACCUUCGGGCCUUGCGCUAUCAGAUGAGCCUAGGUCGGAUUAGCUAGUUGGUGAGGUAAUGGCCCACCAAGGCGACGAUCCGUAACUGGUCUGAGAGGAUGAUCAGUCACACUGGAACUGAGACACGGUCCAGACUCCUACGGGAGGCAGCAGUGGGGAAUAUUGGACAAUGGGCGAAAGCCUGAUCCAGCCAUGCCGCGUGUGUGAAGAAGGUCUUCGGAUUGUAAAGCACUUUAAGUUGGGAGGAAGGGUUGUAGAUUAAUACUCUGCAAUUUUGACGUUACUGACAGAAUAAGCACCGGCUAACUCUGUGCCAGCAGCCGCGGUAAUACAGAGGGUGCAAGCGUUAAUCGGAAUUACUGGGCGUAAAGCGCGCGUAGGUGGUUUGUUAAGUUGGAUGUGAAAUCCCCGGGCUCAACCUGGGAACUGCAUCCAAAACUGGCAAGCUAGAGUAUGGUAGAGGGUGGUGGAAUUUCCUGUGUAGCGGUGAAAUGCGUAGAUAUAGGAGGGAACACCAGUGGCGAACGCGACCACCUGGACUGAUACUGACACUGAGUGCGAAAGCGUGGGGGGCAAACAGGAUUAGAUACCC
rnacentral:rRNA from 1 species